GAUGAAGAACGUAGCGAAAUGCGAUAAGUAGUGUGAAUUGCAGAAUUCAGUGAAUCAUCGAAUCUUUGAACGCACAUUGCGCCCUUUGGUAUUCCUUAUGGCAUGCCUGUUCGAGCGUCAUUUAAACCUUCAAGCUCAGCUUGGUGUUGGGUGACUGUCCGCUUCACCGCGGACUCGCCUCAAAAUUAUUGGCGGCCGGUACAUUGGCUUCGAGCGCAGCAGAAACGCGAACUCGGGCCCGUCGUAUUGGCUCCCAGAAGCUAUCUUCACAAUUUUGACCUCGGAUCAGGUAGGGAUACCCGCUGAACUUAAGCAUAUCAAUAAGCGGAGGA
rnacentral:misc_RNA from 1 species